AUGGCUCAGAUUGAACGCUGGCGGCGUGCUUAACACAUGCAAGUCGCGCGUGAAAGGACUUCGGUCCGAGUAAAGCGGCGCACGGGUGAGUAACGCGUGGAUGAUCUACCCAUGAGUUGGGAAUAACGGCUGGAAACGGUCGCUAAUACCGAAUACGCUCCGAUUUCAACUUCGGGGGAAAGGUGGCCUCUGCUUGCAAGCUACUGCUCAUGGAUGAGUCCGCGUCCCAUUAGCUAGUUGGUGGGGUAACGGCCCACCAAGGCGACGAUGGGUAGCCGGUCUGAGAGGAUGACCGGCCACACUGGGACUGGAACACGGCCCAGACUCCUACGGGAGGCAGCAGUGGGGAAUAUUGCGCAAUGGGCGAAAGCCUGACGCAGCGACGCCGCGUGAGGGAUGAAGGUCCUCGGAUCGUAAACCUCUGUCAGGAGGGAAGAACCGCCACGGUGCUAAUCAGCCGUGGUCUGACGGUACCUCCAAAGGAAGCGCCGGCUAACUCCGUGCCAGCCGCCGC
rnacentral:rRNA from 1 species